GCCGAGGUAGCUCAGUGGUAGAGCACCGCUUUCGUAAAGCGGGGGUCGAGGGUUCAAAUCCCUCUCUCGGCUCCA
rnacentral:tRNA from 1 species